rnacentral:misc_RNA from 1 species
ACUCCCCUCAAGCCCUUCCGCUUGGUAUUGGCAGACUACAGCCUCGCUGUAGCUUCUCAAAGUCAACGGCGGAGUCGUGUCAUCCUCUGAGCUUAGUAGUUACUUUCUAGCUUGCGAGGGCGCGCGUCCCCUGCCGUAAAACACCCAACUUCUUUA